AUGCCAAAAGCACCACUUGGAAGCUGGAGCCUAUCAAAAAACUAUCCUUCCCACCAUAUAAAGAUCGAUCGAUCGAUAAGAUAUCAGCUCAAAGCCAAAGCAUGCACUUGCAUCUCUGCCCCAUACAUGGCCUCACUUGGAUUUCCAUCCAUAUCCAUACCCAUUCUCUUCUUGAUCACUCUGCUGUCCACUGUACCCACAUCUUCUUCUCCUGGUCCAAGCAAGAGCAAUGGCAGCGAUACUGAUCUUGCCGCCCUGCUGGCUUUCAAAGGACAGCUCUCAGACCCUCUCGGCAUCCUUGCCAGCAACUGGACCACCGGCACGAAUUUCUGCCACUGGUUUGGCGUUGCAUGCAGUCGGCGUUGCAUGCAGUUGGCACAAACUUAA
rnacentral:rRNA from 1 species